rnacentral:rRNA from 1 species
GACGAACGCUGGCGGCGUGCUUAACACAUGCAAGUCGAACGGAAAGGCCUCUUUCGGGGGGUACUCGAGUGGCGAACGGGUGAGUAACACGUGAGUAACCUGCCCUUGACUUUGGGAUAACUUCAGGAAACUGGGGCUAAUACCGGAUAGGAGCUCCUGCUGCAUGGUGGGGGUUGGAAAGUUUCGGCGGUUGGGGUUGGACUCGCGGCUUAUCAGCUUGUUGGUGGGGUAGUGGCUUACCAAGGCUUUGACGGGUAGCCGGCCUGAGAGGGUGACCGGCCAUAAUGGGACUGAGGUACGGCCCAGACUCCUACGGGAGGCAGCAGUGGGGAAUAUUGCACAAUGGGUGGAAGCCUGAUGCAGCAACGCCGUGUGCGGGAUGACGGCCUUCGGGUUGUAAACCGCUUUCGCUCAUGACGAAGCUUUGUGUGACGGUAGUGGGUAAAGAAGCACCGGCUAACUACGUG